GGGGAUUUAGCUCAGUGGUAGAGCGCUUGCCUAGCAAGCGCAAGGCCCUGGGUUCGGUCCCAGCUCCG
rfam:Rattus norvegicus chromosome 1, whole genome shotgun sequence.